UAGAAGAAGAAGAAGAAACCU
rnacentral:sRNA from 1 species